rnacentral:rRNA from 1 species
UACGAAGGGGGCUAGCGCUGCUCGGAAUCACUGGGCGUAAAGCGCACGUAGGCGGGUCCUUAAGUCGGGGGUGAAAUCCUGGAGCUCAACUCCAGAACUGCCUUCGAUACUGAGGAUCUCGAGUCCGGGAGAGGUGAGUGGAACUCCGAGUGUAGAGGUGAAAUUCGUAGAUAUUCGGAAGAACACCAGUGGCGAAGGCGGCUCACUGGCCCGGUACUGACGCUGAGGUGCGAAAGCGUGGGGAGCAAACAGG